rnacentral:rRNA from 1 species
AUUUUUAUUUUUUACUUUAUUUUUUGUAAAAUAUUAUAAUUUUUGUUUUUUUUGUAAAAGUGGUUAAAAUUUGGUUUUUGAACUGGAUUAAUACCCAGGGAAACAAAAUUUAUUAAUUCGGGAAUAAAGUUUUUUUUAAACCGAAAAAAUAUUGACUGACUUUGGAUUUUUCUUUGGAACAUGUGUUUGGGAAAACCCUCCUUUAUUGGUAGUUUUAUAGGCCCAUGGAUGAAUGGUUAAUUUUUAUUUUUUUUAUAAUGCUAUUUUUUGUUUUUAUUUAAAACAAAAAUAUAUUUGGUUUAUAUUCCAAUUUUUUUCAUGGGUUACUAUUAUUAAUUUUUUUCGGAAAAAAAUUUUAUAUUUUUUUGAAGUUGGAAAAAAAAGUAAUUUUUAUUUUUAUGUUGUAAUGAAUUUAAAAAACAAAGUGGUACAAACU